AAUCAACGCUGGCGGCGUGCCUAACACAUGCAAGUCGAACGCGAAAGGGGCUUCGGUCCUGAGUAGAGUGGCGUCCGGGUGAGUAACGCGUGGGUAAUCUACCUUUGGGUGGGGAAUAACUAGUCGAAAGGCUAGCUAAUACCGCAUAAUGCAAUUUUCUAUUAGAAUUUUGUUAAAGCAGUAAUGUGCCUAAAGAUGAGCCUGCGUCUGAUUAGUUUGUUGGUAGGGUAAUGGCCUACCAAGACUACUAUCAGUAGCUGGUCUGAGAGGACGGCCAGCCACAAUGGCACUGAAACACGGGCCAUACUCCUACGGGAGGCAGCAGUGGGGAAUUUUGCGCAAUGAGCGAAAGCUUGACGCAGCAACGCCGCGUGAAGGAUGAAAUCCUUCGGGAUGUAAACUUCGCAAGUAUGGGAAGAAAAAAUAGACGGUACCAUAUGUAAGCCCGGCUAACUCCGUGCCAGCAGCCGCGGUAAGUCAUGUGACA
rnacentral:rRNA from 1 species